rnacentral:lncRNA from 1 species
ACACUUGGGUUCAUCUUCAUGAGGUGUAAUGGCGCCGGGAUGCGCUCUCCUCUUCUCAUUUGCCAAUUUAUUGCAGAUCCCUCCUCAAAAAAGUUUUGGGACUAACUCAGCCCCAUGGAGAUCAAGGUGAAUUAGAAAAACAACAAAACAAAACAAGAUUCAUUUUAACAUCUCAUUUUUCUAUCUCCAACUUUCCCUCCCCUCCUCCCACCCCAGGAAGAAAAGACUACGUUUGUUUCUGGUGAUACAUUCAUUGUAGGUGGGUGGGUGACUUCUAGAAGAGGAAAAUCAAGAAGAUUUGGAGAAGGAGUCUUGGAAGCUCUGGUGAAGUUUUCCAAAACUGGGAAGGACAGAGCCACAGGUCUGCCUGUUCUUUUGCUUUGCCAUUUGUGUGGAUACCUAGUAGAGCAAUUUGGGUGCCAUUCUUUGAGGAAUCCAUUGGAUCUGUCAGAAAGCUGAGUCUGCUCAGCCUGUGUUAGUGGAGAAGAGGGAAGGAAACUGGCUGGAGGCCGCUGGACCCACAGAGGACAAUAGACAAUCUCCUGCUUGGAAGAAAAAGAAAAUGAGACCCAGAAGACCCAAAUCACAAAUCAAAAGGACCUCACAGAAGAUUCUACAAUUGAGAUUAUUUAUCCUGGGAUGCCCACUGGAUCCAAAGAGAGAAACUCUAUAGAAUUAUGAUCUAGGUUUGACUGACUCCUGGCAAGAAGCCCUACCCGCCAGCCAAUUUGGAUGAGAUGCCAUCAGCGACCUGCCCGUAUCGCCUUGCCCCACCGAGAAGUCAGGCCACAGACAGUUCCUGUAUAUAGCAGUGCUUCUUUUGGCUUCUGUCUGUAGGUGUUUUCUCACCACAGAAGAGUGCUCAGCCCUCUGGAAGUUCUCUAAAGAGUUAGAUCUCCCAGGGGUGAUCAUCUAUCAAUGAAGGAUGGGAAUUGGUAAACAACUAUUCCAGAUUCCUUGCUUCUCAGUGGAAUAAUUCUGAGGUGCAUUCUACAGUUUCUCAGAAGGAAUCGAGCCCUAGUUAUUUGCAAUGGUUUCUCACUCAUUAAUGCAUCUUUAUGGCUUUACUACUUUCCGUAUCUGAGGUCAUCACUUUAUCACUAUUUCCUGGGACCACUUCCUAAAUAAACUAUAUACA